ACCUGGCUGGCUAAGUCAGAGGAGCAUGUGACUUUUGAUCUGGGGGUCGUGGGUUCGAGCCCCAUGUUGGGUG
rnacentral:tRNA from 1 species